GCUAAGAAUCUUCCGCAAUGGGCGAAAGCCUGACGGAGCGACGCCGCGUGAACGAAGAAGGCCGUGAGGUUGUAAAGUUCUUUUCGGGAGGGGGAACAACCGUGGCAGGGAAUGGCCGCGGGAUGACGUGAAUCCCGGAAUAAGCCCCGGCUAACUACGUGCCAGCAGCCGCGGUAACACGUAGGGGGCGAGCGUUGUUCGGAAUCAUUGGGCGUAAAGGGCGUGCAGGCGGUCGUGCAAGUCCGGCGUGAAAGACCCCGGCCCAACCGGGGGGACGCGCUGGAAACUGCAGGGCUUGAGUACAGGAGGGGAUGCCGGAAUUCCAGGUGUAGGGGUGAAAUCUGUAGAUAUCUGGAAGAACACCAAUGGCGAAGGCAGGCAUCUGGCCAUGUACUGACGCUGAGACGCGAAGGUGCGGGGAGCAAACAGGUUUAGAAACCCCGGUAGUCC
rnacentral:rRNA from 1 species